CUGCAUGGUGGGUGUGGGAAAGAUAUUGUUUCGGUGGGGGAUGGGCUCGCGGCCUAUCAGCUUGUUGGUGGGGUAAUGGCCUACCAAGGCGUCGACGGGUAGCCGGCCUGAGAGGGCGACCGGCCACACUGGGACUGAGACACGGCCCAGACUCCUACGGGAGGCAGCAGUAGGGAAUCUUAGACAAUGGGGGCAACCCUGAUCUAGCCAUGCCGCGUGUGUGAUGAAGGCCCUAGGGUCGUAAAGCACUUUCGCCAGAGAUGAUAAUGACAGUAUCUGGUAAAGAAACCCCGGCUAACUCCGUGCCAGCAGCCGCGGUAAUACG
rnacentral:rRNA from 1 species